UACGUAGGGGGCUAGCGUUGUCCGGAAUUAUUGGGCGUAAAGAGCUUGUAGGCGGUUUGUCGCGUCUGCUGUGAAAAUCCGGGGCUCAACCCCGGACUUGCAGUGGGUACGGGCAGACUAGAGUGUGGUAGGGGAGACUGGAAUUCCUGGUGUAGCGGUGAAAUGCGCAGAUAUCAGGAGGAACACCGAUGGCGAAGGCAGGUCUCUGGGCCACUACUGACGCUGAGAAGCGAAAGCGUGGGGAGCGAACAGG
rnacentral:rRNA from 1 species